rnacentral:rRNA from 1 species
UACGUAGGGGGCGAGCGUUGUCCGGAGUUACUGGGCGUAAAGCGCACGCAGGCGGUCUGCUAAGUUUGGAGUGACAGUUGGUGGCUUAACUGCCAAAGUGCUUCGAAAACUGACAGACUUGAGGGCUUCAGAGGGACACGGAAUUCCGGGUGGAGUGGUGAAAUGCGUAGAGAUCCGGAGGAACACCAAAGGCGAAGGCAGUGUCCUGGGGAGUACCUGACGCUCAGGUGCGAAAGCCAGGGGAGCGAACCGG